GACGAACGCUGGCGGCGUGCCUAAUACAUGCAAGUAGAACGCUGAAGGAGGAGCUUGCUCUUCUGGAUGAGUUGCGAACGGGUGAGUAACGCGUAGGUAACCUGCCUGGUAGCGGGGGAUAACUAUUGGAAACGAUAGCUAAUACCGCAUAAGAGUAGAUGUUGCAUGACAUUUACUUAAAAGGUGCAAUUGCAUCACUACCAGAUGGACCUGCGUUGUAUUAGCUAGUUGGUGGGGUAACGGCUUACCAAGGCGACGAUACAUAGCCGACCUGAGAGGGGGAUCGGCCACACUGGGACUGAGACACGGCCCAGACUCCUACGGGAGGCAGCAGUAGGGAAUCUUCGGCAAUGGACGGAAGUCUGACCGAGCAACGCCGCGUGAGUGAAGAAGGGUUUCGGAUCGUAAAGCUCUGUUGUAAGAGAAGAACGAGUGUGAGAGUGGAAAGUUCACACUGUGACGGUAUCUGACCAGAAAGGGACGGCUAACUACGUG
rnacentral:rRNA from 1 species